rnacentral:rRNA from 1 species
GAUGAACGCUGGCGGCGUGCCUAACACAUGCAAGUCGAACGGACUUACACAGAAGCAGGAGAUGCUUGCAUUGACUAACGGAAGUGUAAGUUAGUGGCGGACGGGUGAGUAACGCGUGGGCAACCUGCCCCAUACCGGGGGAUAACACCUGGAAACAGGUGCUAAAACCGCAUAAGCGCACAGCUUCGCAUGAAGGUGUGUGAAAAACUCCGGUGGUAUGGGAUGGGCCCGCGUCUGAUUAGCUGGUUGGCGGGGUAACGGCCCACCAAGGCGACGAUCAGUAGCCGGCCUGAGAGGGUGGACGGCCACAUUGGGACUGAGACACGGCCCAA